GCCCUCUUAGCUCAGUUGGUAGAGCACCUCCAUGGUAAGGAGGGGGUCAACGGUUCAAGUCCGUUAGAGGGCU
rnacentral:tRNA from 2 species